GGUCGGUUUAGCUCCAGAUUAGCUGAAUCAAAAAGAUUAGAAUUUAACAUAUGAACAAAACAAAUAUAAUAGUUUAUAUAAAAUCACAUAACAAAAGAAAGGAUCGAGGUGAUUAAUAGGCAACCAAGUAAUAAAAAAAUUCAGCCAAUAUUUUCAUACGCUAGCGCCGGAUUUAAUAUAGCGAGUUAUAACGCUAUGAUAGCGAUGUCCGAACUGAAAAAUGUAUAAUUAUUAUGAAAUUAUUAUUAAAUAAAAUCAUUAUUGUUAUGUCUCCGUCGUAAAA